rnacentral:rRNA from 1 species
UACGGAGGUGGCAAGCGUUGCUCGGAAUCACUGGGCGUAAAGGGCGCGUAGGGCGGGGAGUUAAGUCGGGUGUGAAAUCCCUCGGCCCAACCGAGGAACUGCGCCCGAGACUGCUUCUCUUGAGUCCCGGAGAGGAAGGUGGAAUUCCCGGUGUAGCGGUGAAAUGUGUAGAGAUCGGGAGGAACACCGGUGGCGAAGGCGGCCUUCUGGACGGUGACUGACGCUGAGGCGCGAAAGCGUGGGGAGCAAACGGG